rnacentral:lncRNA from 14 species
UGGAGAGAGAAAUAUAAUAAAUAAGCUAAAAACCUUAUCAGCAGGGAUGCAUGAAUCUUAACCCUCCCACAACACAAGUUUAAAGUGUAUGGCAUUAACUCACAGCAGAAGGCAGUGGCUGCAAAAUGAUGCUGCUCCUAUAGCAGCACAGGCACAGUUUUGGAUUAGUAGGUAACACACACUUACUUUAGCAUUUUAACAACAUAAUCAGCCAAAGGGAAAAAAGGAUUAUGAAAAGCUCCUCUGCCAAAUCCGAGCAGAACUUUACAGAACAAAAGCAAGCCGUCUCUCCAACCCACGGGUUUUCUCCCUGGAGAAUUCGGAAGACCUGCUGGGAACAACAGUGGCGCUAGAACUUUUAGAAGCGAGGCCACACGACUGUUUAAACAUGCGUGCUGCUCAACAAGCUGCUGUCAUCUUCCUACACGCUUCUGUCUACCGACCCGUGGGGUUACCGGACUACAGCUACGCAACCUUCUUUACCUUCAUAAAGGAGAAAAAGGUUGCAAGGCACAUCACUAACAGCCAUUAAAAACAGCAUUGACAGAAGACAAACCACCACCUCUUGCAUGAUCUGACACAGCUACUCGAAAUACAGGAAAGACUAUACAAGGAUUUCAGCAAUACCUCUGGCUUAUUUGCCUCUUCCCCUCUCCUUCCAUGAAGAACGAGACGCUGCGACUGCAGUCUCUACAGUACCAGGCAGAACCCGGCCCAAAUCCUUCCAGCGUGCUACCGCGACAUCCCGGGCAGCGCUGGCCGCACCGCGGGCUAAGAGGCGUCGGCUGGCUAGCUCCGCCGCCGUCGUCCGGUCCUGGCGGCAGCGGACCCGCGGAAGGAAUAAGCCCAGGGGCGGGGCAGACGCCGGCCACCCUACAUGGCAGUUUACCACCGGCACACACUCAGCACCUAGGGCCGCGCGGGGGCCGGGCAGGGAGAACGAGACAUGGGUGCAGCAGCAGCACACUAAGCCCCCCGCGGCCUUCUCCACCUCCCAGCCGGGAUCUGUCAGGCCGGCGCUGGGCCCUGCUAGCCCCCGCUGGCCCCCGCCGGGCCGCCAUUUGUUUACCACCCGGCUGCCAGGCAGCCGGAGCCGGCCAGAAGCGGGACACAGCCCCGCCGGGGGGCGCAGGCCCCGGCUCGCCCCGCCAGUCCCGGACAGCUGCGGCUCACCCGUCCCCGUCGCUCGGCAGACAGCAGGGCGCGGAAGGGCUGCGGAAGACGGGGCUGCGCCUCACUCUUCCCCUCCCGGCUCUCCGCCGCGGCGCUCCUCUCGCCUCUCCCGGCCCGGCCUUGCCUCACCACCCAACGGCCGCGCCCCCAACGCAGCGCGCGCAGGGGCCAGUGAGCGAGCGCGCGGGGCGGGGCAACGGGCUGAGGGAGCGCGCGGGACGCCCGCGCGGCCUUUCUUCCCUGGCGGCGGCUCCUCGGCGGGAGGGGAGGGGCGGGGACGAAAUACCCGGAUGUAGCUGUCCUGCCUUCUCCCCCACUUUGACGUUCUGGUCUCCGCGCAUGCGCGAUGGUAUCAGCGAUUGGGGUUUGAUUACAGGAUCAGGACAUAACCAUCUAGCCAAGUGAGCUCCAGAAGAUGGUAGGGAUUGGCUCUGUGACUCAGAGAAGCCAAGCAAAAUAAUUCCAUCUGGUCAGCAGGCAAUUAUAUAAAUUGUUGGGCAGAAUCCACGUACACAGUUGCUGUCUUUCGCAACUGCCUUUUAUUGGAAAUACCUUCUGUGGGACAGGUGAAAUUUGCUGUGCUGCUUAUUCUCACCACGAUGGAGUAUACUCUCCAGCUGAGAGCAACCUGCUGUAAAGUAUUAAUAACAUAGGGUGUUAUUAACAAUGCUUUCAUCUCUGACUCUGUUCAGGGACUGGGCUUCUAUGACAGAAGUGGGGCCUUUUAUUUUAAUUGCUUCUUUUGACUGAGGAAAAUUAAUUCCUGUGGCUUGGAUUUCUUUUCUCCUACUUCAGCUGAGACUCCUCGGAUCACUCAGUCACUUACGGGAGAAUCUUCUGCUUCUCUAAUGCUUUAGUGCAUACACUUGCUCAUAAUCCUGAAUUCCCCCUUCUACCUACCUGGCAACCAUUGUCAUUCUCAUGAACUGCUAUUUAAAGUAAUCGGGCAAGCUGUAAUUAUACAAUUUGGCUUAGUACCGUUGACCUGCAAGCCAGAAGGUCUUUGAGGAUUCAGUGGGUGAACAACUGGAGAGGCUAUUUUCUACUGGCUUAAAUCUAGAAUGAAUGAAACUUCAUUCUGAUUACUCAUAAAUAGAAAAUGAAUGUCUGUGUCUGGUCCAGUAUUGUUUUGUACAUGACACUAUUACUGAACUCAACAGAAGAGUGAAGUGUAAAUUGAUUCUUGGCAAUGUAAUUCAGGUCUUUCCUCCCACCUGAAGCAAAGCCUGUAUCAAAUGCCAAGACAUUUGCUGAGGUGUUCAGUCUCCUGUAAGCUGGUACCUGUAUGUGAAAUAAACCACAUUUGUUAAUUAGGUUGUAGCA